UAGAGUUUGAUCAUGGCUCAGAUUGAACGCUGGCGGCAUGCCUAACACAUGCAAGUCGAACGGCAGCGCGGGCUUCGGCCUGGCGGCGAGUGGCGGACGGGUGAGGAAUACAUAGGAAUCUGCCCAGUCGUGGGGGAUAACCCGGGGAAACCCGGACUAAUACCGCAUACGACGGUGACGUGAAAGCCGGGGACCUUCGGGCCUGGCGCGAUUGGAUGAGCCUAUGUCGGAUUAGCUAGUUGGCGGGGUAAAGGCCCACCAAGGCGACGAUCCGUAGCUGGCCUGAGAGGAUGAUCAGCCACACUGGGACUGAGACACGGCCCAGACUCCUACGGGAGGCAGCAGUGGGGAAUAUUGGACAAUGGGCGCAAGCCUGAUCCAGCAAUGCCGCGUGGGUGAAGAAGGCCUUCGGGUUGUAAAGCCCUUUUGUACGGGAAGAAAUCAUCCGGGUUAAUACCCUGGGUGGAUGACGGUACCGUAAGAAUAAGCACCGGCUAACUUCGUGCCAGCAGCCGCGGUAAUACGAAGGGUGCAAGCGUUAAUCGGAAUUACUGGGCGUAAAGCGUGCGUAGGUGGUUGUUCAAGUCUGUCGUGAGAGCCCUGGGCUCAACCUGGGAAUGGCGAUGGAAACUGGGCGACUGGAGUGCGGUAGAGGAUGGCGGAAUUCCCGGUGUAGCGGUGAAAUGCGUAGAGAUCGGGAGGAACAUCCGUGGCGAAAGCGGCCAUCUGGACCAGCACUGACACUGAGGCACGAAAGCGUGGGGAGCAAACAGGAUUAGAUACCCUGUAGUCCACGCCCUAAACGAUGCGAACUGGAUGUUGGUCUCAACUUGGAGAUCAGUGUCGAAGCUAACGCGUUAAGUUCGCCGCCUGGGGGAGUACGGUCGCAAGACUGAAACUCAAAGGAAUUGACGGGGGCCCGCACAAGCGGUGGAGUAUGGUGGUUAAUUCGAUGCACGCGAAGAACCUUUACCUGGCCUUGACAUGUCGCGAUCCUGCAGAGAUGGCGGGACUGCUUCGGGAUGCGACCACAGGUGCUGCAUGACUGUCGUCAGCCUCGGUUCCAGGAAUGUUUGGUAAGUCCGCACGACCAGCUUGUCUAGGUUGCCAGCACGGUUAGAUG
rnacentral:rRNA from 1 species